rnacentral:rRNA from 1 species
GGGUCAGUAGGUUGGUCGUGCCACCGGUACGUACUGGUCUCACUGAUUCCUCCUUCCUGAAGAACCGUAAUGCCAUUAAUUUGGUGUUGCGGGGAAACAGGACUGUUACUUUGAAAAAAUUAGAGUGUUUAAAGCAAGCUAACGCUUGAAUACAUUAGCAUGGAAUAAUGAAAUAGGACGAUCGAUCCUAUUUUGUUGGUUUCUAGGAUUGACGUAAUGAUUAAUAGGCAUUGUUGUG